GGCCUUUUCACAUUGAAAUACUAGGUCUUGUACGAUCACCAAAGUUAAGCAACAUCAUGCCUGGAUAGUACUGAGAUGAGUGACCACUUGGAAAUACCAAGUGCU